AUAAUGAUACUUCUUUAGUGAAAGCCGGCUCAUCUUAACAGGGGCGGUGGUGAGAUUCCAAUGU
rfam:Mogibacterium sp. CM50 ctg120007703393, whole genome shotgun sequence.